AUUGAACGCUGGCGGAAUGCUUUACACAUGCAAGUCGAGCGGCAGCGCGGGGCAACCUGGCGGCGAGCGGCGAACGGGUGAGUAACACAUCGGAACGUGCCCAGACGUGGGGGAUAGCCCGGCGAAAGCCGGAUUAAUACCGCAUGUGAUCUGAGGAUGAAAGUGGGGGACCGCAAGGCCUCACGCGUUUGGAGCGGCCGAUGGCAGAUUAGGUAGUUGGUGGGGUAAAGGCUUACCAAGCCUGCGAUCUGUAGCUGGUCUGAGAGGGCGACCGGCCACGACUGGAACUGAGACACGGUCCAGACUCCUACGGGAGGCAGCAGUGGGGAAUAUUGGGCAAUGGGGGGAACCCUGACCCAGCGACGCCGCGUGAGGGACGAAGUCCUUCGGGAGUGUAACCUACUGUUGUUGGGGAAGGAAGUCAGUGACGGUACCUCACGAGGAAGACCCGGCCGUAACUCCGUG
rnacentral:rRNA from 1 species